UAACAAAAAAAAAAAAAGUCCAUUUGAAAAUUCCUUGUAAUUCACAUUUUAUUCAGUUUUUAUAUGUGUUGUAUGCAGUUUCUGUUUUGUUCAAAUGACUUUUUAUUUGUUUGAAGAUCCAAGUAAGAACUAUUUCUAUAUCUUUAUAUAAAUAAGUGUAUGAAUGUUGAGGAUAGUUUUGUGUUUUUUUGUUCAACUUUGAAAUAACUUUAAUCUUAUAUUGUAUGAAUGUUCCUUGUCAUUGGAAUGGAUUCAUUUACAUGUAAAUAUCUUUUAUAGACAAACAACAAUUAUUUAAAAGAUUUAAUUUCUCUUAUAAUUAAAAAAAUUAAUUGAUAAUUAAUUGUUUGAUAACAGGGUGCAAUUAAUGACUGUGAAUGAUGUUGGUGUGACCUGUGAGCUACUAUACUUACUUAUGCUGGUUGGGAUUUUACAUUCAAUGCUUUCAUAGUAGUUAGUUUAAUUCUAAUCCUAUUGUUCUUGAAUCAGUACAUCUCAUCCCAUUGUCUUGCUACUUAUCCAAUGAUUAUAAUGCUUAUGAAAUAAUAGAAACAACAAAUAGAUCUUCUCACUGAUACCUCUUAUUACUAUUAUUACAAUUAUGAUUGGAUGGCGGUCAUGUGGUAUGUGCUCUGGACUGUCAUCUCAAUGGUCCUGGGUUCGAACCCUACCUGCUGGCAUUUCCUGCCUUACUGUGGGAAGCUUGGGCUAGGAAGUGAUAACUUUUAAUUCUGAGGAAACAUCCAAUACCUAUAAAACAAAACCAUUAAUCCACAAUAUACAAAUUAUCAUACUUCAUUUUCUAUAUUUAUAAAACAAUUUCAAAAUUAUUAGUUCCACUAUAAGAUCUUAGUAAUAAUGGUAGCGGGGGGGGGGGG